GCCGCCGCCGGGCCGCACCGGCAGCACCGCCCGGGACUACAACUCCCGGCGGGCCGCGCUGCGCGCCCCGCCCCGCCCCGUGCCGCAGCGGCGGGCGGGCCCCGCUCCCGCUCCCGGCCCCGCUCCCGGUGCAGGUUGCCGGGCCGCAGUGGACCGCCCCGGAGCCCGGCCACGAUGCUGCGUCUGGCUGCCUUUGCAGCGCUGCUGCUGUUCUUCAGGGUCAGUCUGGAGCUGUCCUGGGUCCAGGCCAUCCCUGCUCUCUUCAUCUUCUACCUGGGAUCCGGCGGAUGGGACUUCUUCCUCAUAUUCAUCAAGACAGUACGAAGGGAUGUCCACACGGGACUGGUCCUGUUGCGUGUGAAGUGUCAGGUAUGGAAACACAUGAGGGAGAAGAACACAAUUGCCAAGAUCUUCCAGAAGACCGCAAGGAAGUAUCCAGAGAAGACAGCGCUGAUCUUCCAAGGCACGGGCGAGAGCUGGACCUUCCGGCAGCUGGAUGAGUACUCCAACAGAGUGGCCAACUUCUUCUAUGGGCAAGGCUUCCGCUCGGGUGACGUGGUGGCUCUCUUCAUGGAGUCCCGCAAUCAGUACGUGGGGCUGUGGCUCGGCUUGGCCAAGAUUGGGGUGGAAACGGCCCUUGUGAAUUCCCACCUGCGCAUGGAGGCCUUGCUGCACUGCAUCACCAUCUCCAACUCCAAAGCUGUGGUGUUCGGUGUGGAGAUGAUGGAAGCAAUGCAGGAAGUGCAGCCCUCCCUGGAGAAAUCUGUCCAUCUUUACUGGUCAGGGGAAGGAAGUUGCGAGUCUGCGCUUCCUGGUGCGAAACACUUGGACCCCCUCCUGCAGAUGGCCCAGAAGCACCCACCCACCCCCCCGGAUAAGGGCUUUCUUGACAAACUCUUCUACAUCUACACCUCUGGCACAACGGGGCUGCCCAAGGCUGCAAUUGUGGUGAACUGCCGGUACUUCCGCAUGGCCAGCUUGGUUUUCUACGGUUUCCGCAUGAGGUCCGACGAUGUGAUGUACGACUGCCUCCCGCUCUACCACGCUGCAGGGAACAUCGUGGGGAUCGGGCAGUGCCUGCUGCAGGGCAUGACCAUUGUCAUCCGCAAGAAGUUCUCGGCCUCGCACUUUUGGGAGGACUGUGUCAGAUACAACUGCACGAUUGUGCAGUACAUCGGGGAGAUCUGCCGCUACCUGCUGAACCAGCCGUACCAGGAGGCGGAGCGGCAGCACCGGGUGCGCAUGGCGCUGGGCAACGGGCUGCGGGCUUCCAUCUGGAGGGAGUUCAUGGCCCGCUUCGGCAUUGCCCAGGUAGCAGAGUUCUACGGGGCCACCGAGUGCAACUGCAGCCUGGGAAACUUUGAUAACAACGUUGGGUCGUGCGGCUUCAACAGCAGGAUCCUACCAGGUGUGCACCCCAUCGGCUUGGUGAAGGUGGAUGAAGACACCAUGGAGCUGAUCCGGGGACCAGAUGGUGUCUGUAUCCACUGCAAGCCAGGGGAGCCGGGGCAGCUGGUGGGCCGCAUUGUCAAGAGCAACCCCUUCCAGCACUUUGAUGGCUACCUGAAUAAGUCAGCCACCAACAAGAAAAUUGCCAGGGAUGUGUUUGCAAAAGGGGACACUGCCUAUCUCACAGGGGAUGUCCUGGUGAUGGACAAAUACGGCUACAUGUACUUCCGGGACCGCACUGGGGACACAUUCCGCUGGAAGGGGGAGAACGUCUCCACCACAGAGGUGGAGGGGACGCUGAGCCACAUCCUCAACCUGACAGACGUGGUGGUUUAUGGGGUGGAGAUCCCAGGGAUUGAAGGGAAGGCAGGAAUGGCAGCCAUCGCCGACCCGGAGAACUCCUGUGACCUCGAAGGCUUUGCCAGCAAGCUGAAAAAGGCGCUGCCGCUGUAUGCACGUCCCGUCUUCCUGCGGUUCCUGGACAAAGUCUCCAAGACAAGCACUUAUAAGUUCCAGAAGGUGGAGCUGCGGAAGCAGGGCUUUGACCCUACGGUGGUGAAGGACAGGUUGUACUUCCUGGACUCCAGGCAAGGUCGCUACCUGCCGCUGGACCAGGCAGCGUUCGACAGGAUCCAGUCGGGACAGCAGAAGCUGUAACCGGUGGGGCUCAAGCAAGGCACCUCCCCGAAUCCUGCUGGGGAGAGGGGGGCAAGGCAGGCACAGGGGAAGAAAAGGUUCAAGGAGUGCUAUAAAGAUGUAACUCAGCACUGUGGAGCUGCUCGUGAGGAUUUUUCUGCUGGUCGAUGUCUGUGCCCUGAAUGUGGGAAGCAACUUGCCAUGGGGAGAGAAAGUCCUCCGGAGGAGGGUGGUCUCUGUGAGAGCCUGACUUCACUUGCUCUGCAUCCCUUCCCGAAAGAGCCCUCCCUGUCUCCGCCGCAGGAGAUGGUCCCCAAACUGAAAUGUCCAUGUUAAACAUCUGACUUUGCGCUACGUGAGCUCCCCGUGUUGUGUCUGUCUGACGUGAAACGGCCUUGGCAGUGGUGUCCGGUUCCAGUCCUCGAGGACCAUGCAGAAACGUCUGUUCCAGAGAAAACUCUGGAUUGGGGUUUAUUCUUCUUCCCCUCCCCCCUUUUUAUUUUUCUCCUUUAACGAUUUGGUUUUAUGCUUUUAGCAGGGUUACUCCUUAAAAUGACGUCUGUCUUUUGUGAGGGCAGGGUGUGCCUGCUCUUCUAGCUGUGUUUCCACACCAACGUACCUGCCUGCCCCAGUCUGUCCUGUCCUCACAAUUAAAUGCGAGUAUGGGCUAUG